AGUGUCAUAUAUACUUUUUAAAAAAAUUGGAAUACAGAAAAGUUUAGCAUGGCUCCUGUAUAAGAAUGACUCUCAAAUUGUGAAGCAUUUCAUU
rnacentral:snRNA from 1 species